AUUUUUGUAGUGUUUGUAAUUUUUACUUUUUAGUACCUACAGGGCUUAUAUGAAAAAAAACUUUAGGCAAAUUCACUAAGUUAUUUGAUCGAAACCAUAUAAUUUAGUAAUAAUGGUAUUCUUAACGGUAAUUUUUCGACCGUUGUCCCCUGACCUACACAUACACAUCAUAAACACCGUCGCACUCAACGUGUUUAAUAAAACAUUCGUAAUUAACUACGCAUCUCACAGAGUUUGCGAAGGGUGAAUAGCUGUAAAUAUACAGCCCGCAUAGUCACAAGCGUGCCUCACAGGCAGUGCUGGAUUGGAUGGCUAUAAUAUAAUAUAAUCAAACGCGUCCUGACUCACUGACUGAUCAACAUAAAACCUAAAUAAUGAAUUUUGUGGCUUGAGAUGUAAAUGUGUACUAAGCAAGAAUUUAAGAUGAUCGAUGAAAUCUUUUAAGUUUUUGAACACCAUUACACCGAAUAUUAAAUAAUGAUUUUACCGUUGUAAAAUCCAUGUCAAAUCCGGUCUAUGAAUCAUAAAAUAUUAUUUUGUUAGUAAAUCAUCAUGACUACAAAAACCUUACGGAAAAUCGGUCAGAAACCAAAAGCGUGUAUUCAACCCAAAAACAUGCUUAUGUUAAAAAUAAUAACAAGUAAGGUACUUAUUUGACCGAUACCAAAAAUAGUAUUUAAUCAAUGAUUUUCAAGUGGGUUUGGCCUGUAUUAGUGCUAAGGGAGGGAUACUACUGUAAUGGUGUGGAACACCAUUACAGUUUUCAUAUUUUUAUAAUUAUAAUAUUACGAAUGGUAUUAUAUACUAUACAAUUAUCAUAGAUGCGCGUGUCAUCUUUUAUCCAAUCUGUAAUAUCACGGAGUAAAGCUAUAUAUAUAUGUAUAACUAUUUUGUAUAGUAAGCAAAAUUUAUAAUAAUCGUUCGGCCUGCUUGACAUUCGUCAGCCGAACGAAGUUAGUCUCGUCUCACCACUUGCUCCGUGUAUUGUUGCUGCCAGGUCAUCGUGAAUUUGUCGGCGUAAAAGUUGGCGUAGUCGGCGUCGUCGCUGAAUGAAACUCCACACCCGUACUUGUUGCGCCGGGUGCGUCUCCAGUCGAGUCCACUGUC